rnacentral:misc_RNA from 1 species
AGCUCUCAAGUCUCAAACUUAGAUGCCAAUUACACUAUGUUUGAGAGUUUUUGUUGAAUAUGAAAGGAAAGUAUAAUGUUUAAUAGAAAAAUAAAAGAAAUGAGAGGUUAAGUAAUUUAGCAUGUUUGGAAGUUGCAAGGGAUAGGAAAGGAUUUUAAGUAUUAAGGUUAGAAUAGUCAUAUUUAAAAAUAUUUUUCAUGUUGAGGAAGAGAUAACUCUUAUUCCCUCAAAUUUGAUGUGAGAGCAAAGUGGGGUUUGAAUGGAUAAGUAAUCCCUCAUCAUUUUUUUUCCAACUUCAUUAGACUAACAAACAAGGGAUUACUCUUAUCUCUUGACCUUUUCCUUUUGCAUCCGUCUCUGUCCUUCCAUCAAAAACUAAGUGUUGAUGACAAAAAAGAAAACAAGCAAAGAGAUUGAGUACCUUCAGUUUUCUAAGCUGAAGAAUCCUGACUAUCACUGCAAUAUUCUUAUGGUCCUUGCAAGCACUGAUGCUAGAUAUCUGUAUCAUGUCUUCAUCUGGAGAGUCUGAAUCAGUCAACAUUUUGGUUGGAUAGGGGUUGAGAAUUUCCAGAUCCUUGAUAAGAUUUCUACUGGACUUCUCUUUUAUGUUUCUUUUGUUUUUGAGUAAAAACAGUUGACUAUGGGUACAAAACUAAUUGAACAUCUGAAUAGUCUGCCCUUUAUCUCAUUAUUGUGCGUGAAUGUGAGGGCAUGUUUUGUUGUUUGUCAGCUGUUAGUAAUAGCUUGAUAACUGAUAAAUAUGUUAACUGUUUGGAAAACUACUGAUAGCUAUUGAUGUUAGUAUGCUAAAUGACCACUUGAUAUAUUUUUUCAAAUGUGAUUUGUUACAUCUUAUUAGUUUUUCUUUAAUAUAUCAUAUCAAAAAAGAGGAAAAAAAUAAAUUAUUAAAAUUUAUAAUCAAUUUUCUUUAUGUUUCUAAUAAAUAGUUAAGUUCUUUUGCCAAUAAAUAUGAAUUUUGUAGUUGACCAAGCAUUAUUUUUGACAAUCUGUAACAAUUUUACCAUAUAGUAAAUGUAUUUAAAAAAAUAAUUGUCUUUGAUAAAUUUUUUUUAUGGACUAUUUGUUCUGAAAGUUCAGAAGUUACCAACUAUAGGAAAAAGCUCAAAAUUUGAACUUUUAGAAUCAAUAGUGGUUGGGUGCUCAAAGAGCUAAGAGCUGCUAAUUUCUGCAUGUUACCAAACAUGUUGACACAAUAGUUGAGGUCAAACAGCUAUAAGUGAUCCAAAUAAUUUCUGCAUGUCACCUAAAACCUAAAACAGACGUCCAAAGUAUAUUGAUCAAAGACUAUAGAAUGUAGAGCAUGUCUCUGAGUUUAUAUGCAUAAGAGAACUAGUAGGAACUUUCUCUUGAAAUGGAGUGGAUUAUUUUAAUUUGAAGGAACAUGCAAAUAGCAGUUAUUCUUGUUAUUUUUGUUCAUACAAUGGCCGAGUCCUUGUGGUUGGCAGUAACUAUCAUUUAGAACCAGUGUUAUCAAGGCGAAAGGUUAUACUAAGGCGGCAGGGGGCCUUAUGGCCUUAGGCG